UUAAUCUAUCUUAGCUAGUCUCUACG
rnacentral:sRNA from 1 species